rnacentral:rRNA from 1 species
UACGUAGGUGGCAAGCGUUGUCCGGAAUUACUGGGCGUAAAGGGCGCGCAGGCGGCUCUGAAAGUCAGAUGUGAAAGCCCCGGGCUUAACCUGGGAAUUGCAUUUGAUACUCUGGAGCUUGAGUACGAGAGAGGUGAGUGGAAUUCCCAGUGUAGAGGUGAAAUUCGUAGAUAUUGGGAAGAACACCGGUGGCGAAGGCGGCUCACUGGCUCGUAACUGACGCUCAGGCGCGACAGCGUGGGGAUCAAACAGG